UUAGUUCUACGAGGGCCCUUGAUUUAGUUGCCAGCAUUCAGUUGGGCACUUUAAGGUGAUGCCGGUGACAAACCGGAGGAAGGUGGGGAUGACGUCAAAUCAUCAUGCCCCUUAUGACCUGGGCUACACACGUGCUACAAUGGACAGAACAAAGGGCAGCGAAACCCGAGGUUAAGCCAAUCCCACAAAUCUGUUCUCAGUUCGGAUCGCAGUCUGCAACUCGACUGCGUGAAGCUGGAAUCGCUAGUAAUCGCGGAUCAGCAUGCCGCGGUGAAUACGUUCCCGGGCCUUGUACACACCGCCCGUCACACCACGAGAGUUUGUAACACCCGAAGUCGGUGAGGUAACCUUUUAGGAGCGAGCCGCCGAAGGUGGACAGAUGAUUGGGGGGG
rnacentral:rRNA from 1 species